GUGAGGAAUUUUGCGCAAUGGGGGAAACCCUGACGCAGCAACGCCGCGUGAGUGAUGAAGGCCUUCGGGUUGUAAAGCUCUGUCAAGUGGGAAGAAACUUUUUCGGCUGAAUAAUCCGAAAAACUGACGGUACCACUGAAGGAAGCACCGGCUAACUCCGUGCCAGCAGCCGCGGUAAUACGGAGGGUGUAAGCGUUAUUCGGAUUUAUUGGGCGUAAAGGGCGUGUAGGCGGUCUGAACAGUCAGGUGUGAAAGCCCUUGGCUUAACCAAGGAAGUGCACUUGAAACUAUCAGACUUGAGUACGGGAGGGGGAAGUGGAAUUCCUGGUGUAGAGGUGAAAUUCGUAGAUAUCAGGAGGAAUACCGGUGGCGAAGGCGACUUCCUGGACCGAUACUGACGCUGAGACGCGAAAGCGUGGGGAGCAAACAGGAUUAGAAACCCCAGUAGUCC
rnacentral:rRNA from 1 species